rnacentral:rRNA from 1 species
UACGGAGGGUGCAAGCGUUACUCGGAAUCACUGGGCGUAAAGGGCGCGUAGGCUGGCUUUUAAGUCAGAUGUGAAAUCCUAUGGCUUAACCAUAGAACUGCGUUUGAAACUGAAAGCCUAGAGUUCAGAAGGGGCAGAUGGAAUUAGUGGUGUAGGGGUAAAAUCCGUAGAUAUCACUAGGAAUAUCAAAAGCGAAGGCGAUCUGCUGGGAUGAUACUGACGCUGAGGCGCGAAAGCGUGGGGAGCAAACAGGAUUAGAUACCCUGGCAGUCCACGCCCUAAACGAUGAAUGCUAGUCGUCGGGGUACUCGUUACUUCGGUGAUGCACUUAACAGAUUAAGCAUUCCGCCUGGGGAGUACGGUCGCAAGAUUAAAACUCAAAGGAAUAGACGGGGACCCGCACAAGUGGUGGAGCAUGUGGUUUAAUUCGAAGAUACACGAAGAACCUUACCUGGCCUUGACAUGGUAGGAACCCUUAAGAGAUUAGGGGGUGCUAGCUUGCUAGAACCUACACACAGGUGCUGCACGGCUGUCGUCAGCUCGUGUCGUGAGAUGUUGGGUUAAGUCCCGCAACGAGCGCAACCCUCGUCCUUAGUUGCUAACAGUUCGGCUGAGCACUCUAAGGAGACUGCCUUCGCAAGGAGGAGGAAGGUGAGGACGACGUCAAGUCAUCAUGGCCCUUACGGCCAGGGCUACACACGUGCUACAAUGGGGCGUACAAAGAGCUGCAAUACCGCGAGGUGGAGCCAAUCUCUUAAAGCGUCUCUCAGUUCGGAUUGUUCUCUGCAACUCGAGAACAUGAAGCUGGAAUCACUAGUAAUCGUAGAUCAGCUAUGCUACGGUGAAUACGUUCCCGGGUCU